UGAACGCUGGCGGUAUGCUUAACACAUGCAAGUCGAACGGUAACAUGAACUAGCUUGCUAGUUUGAUGACGAGUGGCGGACGGGUGAGUAACGCGUAGGAAUCUACCUUUCGGCGGGGGAUAGCCCGGAGAAAUCCGGAUUAAUACCGCAUAAGCCCUACGGGGGAAAGCGGGGGACCACUUGUGGCCUCGCACCGAUAGAUGAGCCUGCGUUAGAUUAGCUAGUUGGUAGGGUAAAGGCCUACCAAGGCGACGAUCUAUAGCUGGUCUGAGAGGAUGAUCAGCCACACUGGAACUGAGACACGGUCCAGACUCCUACGGGAGGCAGCAGUGGGGAAUAUUGGACAAUGGGCGCAAGCCUGAUCCAGCAAUACCGCGUGUGUGAAGAAGGGUUUCGGCUCGUAAAGCACUUUCAGCGAGGAGGAAAGGUUGUAAGUUAAUAGCUUGCAACUGUGACGUUACUCGCAGAAGAAGCACCGGCUAACUCC
rnacentral:rRNA from 1 species